rnacentral:rRNA from 1 species
UACGGGGGGAGCAAGCGUUGUUCGGAUUUACUGGGCGUAAAGGGCGCGUAGGCGGCCAGCACAAGUCAGUUGUGAAAUCUCCGAGCUUAACUCGGAAAGGUCAACUGAUACUGUGCGGCUAGAGUGCGGAAGGGGCAACUGGAAUUCUUGGUGUAGCGGUGAAAUGCGUAGAUAUCAGGAGGAACACCAAUUGCGAAGGCAGCUCGCUGGGACGUUACUGACGCUGAGACGCGAAAGCGUGGGGAGCAAACAGG